AACGAACGCUGGCGGCAUGCCUAACACAUGCAAGUCGAACGAGACCUCCGGGCCUAGUGGCGCUCGGGUGCGGAACGCGUGGGAACCUGCCCUUAGGUUCCGAACAAUUCCCCGAAGGGGGUGUUAACACCGGAUAAUCUAAUCGGAUACAUGAUUUAUCGCCCUUGGGUGGGCCGGGGAUGGAUUAGCUUGUUGGUAGGGUAAAAGCCUAUCAAGGCGUCGCUCCUUAGCUGGUCUGGGAGGAGGAUCAGCCACACUGGGGCUGCGGCACGGCCCAGACUCCUACGGGAGGCAGGAGUGGGGAAUAUUAGGCAAGGGAGGAGAGCCUGAGCCAGCAAUGCCGGGGGAGUGAUGAAGGCCUUAGGGUUGUGAAGCUGUUUUACACGGGAUGAUAAUGACAGUACCGGGAGAAUAAGCUCCGGCUAACUCCGUG
rnacentral:rRNA from 1 species